CUGGUAGCUGGGCUACUGGGCCACCGGAAGCGGCUGGUGGAGAGCAGCUGGCGGUGACUGGGGUUGGUCCGGGUACCCGUCAGGGUUAGGAGACGCAGGCAUGCUGCGUCCCAAGGCUUUGACGCAGGUGCUAAGCCAAGCCAACACCGGAGGAGUCCAAAGCACCCUGUGAGUGCACAAGGACCGAGCGGCGAGCACUGGAGUGGGGCGGCGCGCGGCUGCCUGCAGUAGGGGCUGCUGAAUAACGAGGGAUCGUUGCUGGCCUACUCCGGUUAUGGGGACACAGAUGCCCGGGUCACCGCGGCCAUCGCCAGUAACAUCUGGGCAGCGUACGACCGGAACGGGAACCAAGCGUUUAAUGAAGACAAUCUCAAAUUUAUCCUCAUGGACUGCAUGGAGGGACGUGUAGCCAUUACUCGGGUGGCCAACCUCCUGUUAUGUAUGUAUGCCAAGGAGACUGUAGGCUUCGGAAUGCUCAAGGCCAAAGCCCAGGCCUUGGUGCAGUACCUGGAGGAGCCCCUCACUCAAGUAGCAGCAUCAUAAUAAUGUGAUGGAAGCUGGAGUCAGAAGGGAUGGUGGUUGGGAGGAGCAGGGCCCUGCAAACACCCAAUGGACUGGCUACAGGAAAGUGGGACUUUGGCUUUUUUCCAAAUAAAUUUCAACCCUUGCCUUGUG